ACACUUCUCUGAAGGAACUCCUAAGGAGAUAUUAAAUUGUCCCAAUUUAUAUUCAUUCAUAUCAAAUGAACAUUUGUCUCAGGCCCAGCAUGAUACCUUCGUGGACCAAACGAAUCUAUUUCAGCCACCUACAGAUGAUUAACACAGUUGACUACAGGAGUUUCAGAAAGUGCGUUUCUUGAUGUAUCCUUCGAAGGAAAGGAUUAUUUUAAAAGCAAUUUUUCUACAGGUGAACAAAGAAAAAAGGGGCUUCAAGCAGGAUCCGAAGAUCCGGGCAGAACUUGCUCAGCGGCCCCUGCCACCGGCUCCAGAGCCUACAAGGGCGCCACCAGCCACUGUCUCGUCACACAGCUGUCACCCAGGGUCACCUGGAGUGAGUCAGGAGGGGCGGGGCCUCCGUGUCCGUUCAGCUCUGACCUCACAAUGCACCGCGUCGAGGGAAUUCCGAGCAGCUUAAAAAUGGCAAAUCCAAGUAAGGAGUGCACUGAAAUGCAAAACCCACUACGACCUGGAGAAUGACAUUUGCGUAAAACAGCAGCUCCUAGAGUGGGCGGGGCUUGUAACCGAGCUCUAGCUGCCACCAAACAGCUAAUACGUCGCUUGCUGUCGGCAACAAAAAUCCUUCUGAGCAAACACAAAAAUAAUUAUGCGUUGACCUGCCUGAGCCCUAGAAUUAACUAAAUGGGUCAGGUGAGCUUUAGACAGGAGACUUACAUGUAAUGACUCCAAUGAUACAAGCCAUCCCCCCUCCUGCACGGGGGGUACAUCCCCAGACCCCUAGUGGACGCCCGAACCCUGGACAGUACCGACCCUCCCUAUACUAUCCUUUUUCCUAUAUGCACAUACCUAUGAUAAAGUUUAAUUUUUCAGUUAGGCACAGAAGGCAAUUAACAACAAUGACUAAUAAUAAACUAGAACAAUUAAGACA
rnacentral:lncRNA from 1 species